AGCCCUGAGGUGUUUUACAUAUUAGAUUGCAAAUCUAAAGAAGCAGGCUGACGUCUGCCGGGGCUU
rnacentral:tRNA from 1 species